AUUGAACGCUGGCGGCAGGCCUAACACAUGCAAGUCGAGCGAGCGGCGGACGGGUGAGUCAUGUCAGGGAACCUGCCUGAUGGGGAGGGCUAACUACUGGAAACGGUAGCUAAUACCGCAUACCGUCAGGUGUGCCCAGAGGGGAUUAGCUAGUAGGUUGGGUAAUGGCUCACCUAGGCGACGAUCCCUAGCUGGUCUGAGAGGAUGACCAGUCACACUGGAACUGAGACACGGUCCAGACUCCGACGGGAGGCAGCAGUGGGGAAUAUUGCACGAUGGGCGCAAGCCUGAUUCAGCCAUGCCGCGUGUGUGAAGAAGGCCUUCGGGUUGUAAAGCACUUUCAGCGGGGAGGCGUUACCCGCAGAAGAAGCACCGGCUAACUCCGUGCCAGAAGCCGCGGUAAUUC
rnacentral:rRNA from 1 species